UCCGGUUGAUCCUGCCGGAGGUUACUGCUAUCGGUGUUCGCCUAAGCCAUGCGAGUCAUAUGUAGCAAUACAUGGCGUACUGCUCAGUAACACGUGGAUAACCUGCCCUUGGGUCCGGCAUAACCCCGGGAAACUGGGGAUAAUUCCGGAUAACGCACAUAUGCUGGAAUGCUUUAUGCGUAAAAUGGAUUCGUCUGCCCAAGGAUGGGUCUGCGGCCUAUCAGGUAGUAGUGGGUGUAAUGUACCUACUAGCCGACAACGGGUACGGGUUGUGAGAGCAAGAGCCCGGAGAUGGAUUCUGAGACAUGAAUCCAGGCCCUACGGGGCGCAGCAGGCGCGAAAACUUUACAAUGCGGGAAACCGUGAUAAGGGGACACCGAGUGCCAGCAUCAUAUGCUGGCUGUCCGGGUGUGUAAAAUACACCUGUUAGCAAGGGCCGGGCAAGACCGGUGCCAGCCGCCGCGGUAACACCGGCGGCCCGAGUGGUGAUCGUGAUUAUUGGGUCUAAAGGGUCCGUAGCCGGUUUGGUCAGUCCUCCGGGAAAUCUGAUAGCUCAACUAUUAGGCUUUCGGGGGAUACUGCCAGACUUGGAACCGGGAGAGGUAAGAGGUACUACAGGGGUAGGAGUGAAAUCUUGUAAUCCCUGUGGGACCACCUGUGGCGAAGGCGUCUUACCAGAACGGGUUCGACGGUGAGGGACGAAAGCUGGGGGCACGAACCGGAUUAGAUACCCGGGUAGUCCCAGCCGUAAACGAUGCUCGCUAGGUGUCAGGCAUGGCGCGACCGUGUCUGGUGCCGCAGGGAAGCCGUGAAGCGAGCCACCUGGGAAGUACGGCCGCAAGGCUGAAACUUAAAGGAAUUGGCGGGGGAGCACAACAACGGGUGGAGCCUGCGGUUUAAUUGGACUCAACGCCGGACAACUCACCGGGGACGACAGCAAUAUGUAUAGGCCAGGCUGAAGACCUUGCCUGAAUCGCUGAGGAGGUGCAUGGCCGUCGCCAGUUCGUACUGUGAAGCAUCCUGUUAAGUCAGGCAACGAGCGAGACCCGUGCCCACUGUUACCAGCAUGUCCUCCGGGAUGGGGUACU
rnacentral:rRNA from 1 species